CAUAUAAUUACAAUUAAUUGUUUUUUAUUAAUUGUCUGUUUGUGUUUUACAUAUAAUUACAAGUACUUGUUUUUUUAUUAAUAAAAUCGACCUAACUUGAUGGUUGUCCCUGUGGUGUUUCAUGAAGGACUCGUUAGAAGAACAGACAACACAAGGUACAUUUGUCCCCAUGGUCAUGAUGACAUACUUAACACUGCCAUUGGGCGACCAGAUCAUGGAGGUUGUGUUCGUGCAACGGGGUUUGGUGUGACAAUAACUCAAUACUAUGGAAGGGCAUCACGUGGCUCCAAUAGCUCAUUCACAUCCAUCACCCAACAACAGUUGGCUGAAAUAAUAGGAAACCUUAAGGAAGAGUAGAGGAAUGAGAUUAAGGAAGAAGUCAAGAAUGAGAUUGGAGAACAAAACAAAUAAAGUCUAGAGAUAUUGAAACAGGAGUUGAAGGAGGCCAUCAAAAUUGAGAUGUCGCAAAUAAAGUGACUGAAGCUGUUCAACAGUUGAAUGAUGUUGCUAUAGAUGACCCCUUGCGUGAGUUGAUUAAGAGCAUGUACGACAUUUAUGAGAAGCCCGUUCAGUUGGUGUGGGAUGUUACUAAAUUUGGGAUUCAAAAUGUAGAUGCAUCCUUGUUCUUAACAUAUGUUGAUGUCAAUGAAAUAAUAUCAGGCGAAAAAUGUUUGAAUAUAACUAUACUACAGUUGUGGAUGAUGUAUAUGGAUGAGUGGAGUUCUAGCUUGGGUCAUGGUUCGAUGUAUGGAUUCCUUGAGCCUCAGUCGAUACACAAUGCAAAGUGUCAUACCCUAAUUCCGUCCAGGGACUAUCGUUCGUUGAUAUUUUGAACCUUACUAGUCGACUUACGGUGUUGAACGUCAGUUACAGUGCAAAGCAAGGAACCAUUCGGUGUUUCGAUCAGGAAGACAAAAGAUAUAAAGAAAGGAGGGCAAAAAGGUCUUUUCCUUGUUUUUUCUAGGCCCCUGCUCGCCCAGGUCAGCAUUUGGCUCGCCUGGGCCACCAAAUAACUUCAAGGCUAAGGGACUAGCUCGCCUGGGCGAACUCACUGCUUCAGGUUUAAGUUUCAGCUCACUUGGGCGAGCUGCAACCGCCCAAGGUGGGAUUUUGCCUAUAAAUAGGCAUCCUAGGGGUGUUGUAAAGGGUUAUAAGGUUUAGAAGUGGAGGGAAUUGAGAGAAUUAAGAAAGAAGAUGAAACAAAGCCAAGGCACUACAGAAUCGUGACUGCGAUCAUUCCCUACGUCUUUUCUGGUUUUGUAUUCUUUGUGCGACCAUUAGUUAGUUUUAUUUUUUGGGAUUGAAUGUGAUCUAUGUACCCUUAGGGGUCCCCCUUGUUAUAAUGUCCACAUUCAUCUUUUCCAUCUAUCAUCGACAAUCUCGUUUUUCUUUGUAAAGUUCAAUCUUAGUUGAUCACUAGUGUUGUAAAGUUGUCUUUGAAGA